UUUAAUUUAAUUUAAUUUACAACUUUGUACUAAACAAAAUAUAUGGUUAAAUAUAUUCGUUCCUUUCGCUUCUUGUUCGGUUCGCUACAUAAGCACAGCCUGUCCACAUGCAAGUCACACGAUUUGAUAAUCACAAACUCUGAAUAAAACACAUAAACUAAUGCGAUUCUGCACGCCAUAUAAUUUUCCGAUUUCCAAACAUAUAUUAUAAUUAGUGAAGAUUUAAUUAAUAGACUACUUACAUUUCUUUUCCUCAAAAACCACAACUGCGUUGUCGCCAUUCCAUCUGCUAGCGUCUAAAUCUACAUCGCCGCCUCUUGACUUGCUGGAUUGGAAAUAUAUUAUCAAUCUUUCUAGGGUAAUCUCAGCCGGUAUAUUGUUCACGUAAAGUGACCAGGGCAUCUUUAUUUCGCUCAAAUAAGCAUACUUAAAGUACGCUGCUACCGACCACAGUGCAUAUUCUCACAGUAACUGCAUCGAAAUAAAACUAAACGAAACUGGAUCUACCCAUUUGCAGGCGGAAUGCGAACUCAUUUUCCAGGAAGUCACG